UACAGGGGGGGCAAGCGUUGUUCGGAAUUACUGGGCGUAAAGGGUUUGUAGGUGGCUUGCUAAGUCAGACGUGAAAUCCCUCAGCUUAACUGGGGAACUGCGUCUGAUACUGGCGAGCUUGAGUGCAGGAGAGGAACGCGGAAUUCCAGGUGUAGCGGUGAAAUGCGCAGAUAUCGGGAAGAACACCCGUGGCGAAGGCGGCACUCUGGGACGGUACUGACGCUGAGACGCGAAAGCGUGGGGAGCGAACAGG
rnacentral:rRNA from 1 species